AACGAACGCUGGCGGCAGGCUUAACACAUGCAAGUCGAGCGCCCCGCAAGGGGAGCGGCAGACGGGUGAGUAACGCGUGGGAAUCUACCGUGCCCUACGGAAUAGCUCCGGGAAACUGGAAUUAAUACCGUAUACGCCCUUCGGGGGAAAGAUUUAUCGGGGUAUGAUGAGCCCGCGUUGGAUUAGCUAGUUGGUGGGGUAAAGGCCUACCAAGGCGACGAUCCAUAGCUGGUCUGAGAGGAUGAUCAGCCACAUUGGGACUGAGACACGGCCCAAACUCCUACGGGAGGCAGCAGUGGGGAAUAUUGGACAAUGGGCGCAAGCCUGAUCCAGCCAUGCCGCGUGAGUGAUGAAGGCCCUAGGGUUGUAAAGCUCUUUCACCGGUGAAGAUAAUGACGGUAACCGGAGAAGAAGCCCCGGCUAACUUCGUG
rnacentral:rRNA from 1 species